UACAUGGCUGGGGGUCUUUGCAUGCAGUCGAACGGCAGCGGGGGUAGCUUCGCUACCUGCCGGCGAGUGGCGAACGGGUGAGUAAUACAUCGGAACGUGCCCUGUAGUGGGGGAUAACUAGUCGAAAGACUAGCUAAUACCGCAUACGACCUGAGGGUGAAAGUGGGGGACCGCAAGGCCUCAUGCUAUAGGAGCGGCCGAUGUCUGAUUAGCUAGUUGGUGGGGUAAAGGCCCACCAAGGCGACGAUCAGUAGCUGGUCUGAGAGGACGAUCAGCCACACUGGGACUGAGACACGGCCCAGACUCCUACGGGAGGCAGCAGUGGGGAAUUUUGGACAAUGGGGGCAACCCUGAUCCAGCAAUGCCGCGUGUGUGAAGAAGGCCUUCGGGUUGUAAAGCACUUUUGUCCGGAAAGAAAUCGCACUGGUUAAUACCUGGUGUGGAUGACGGUACCGGAAGAAUAAGGACCGGCUAACUACGUGCCAGCAGCCGCGGUAAUAAGUAGGGUCCAAGCGUUAAUCGGAAUUACUGGGCGUAAAGCGUGCGCAGGCGGUUGUGCAAGACCGAUGUGAAAUCCCCGGGCUUAACCUGGGAAUUGCAUUGGUGACUGCACGGCUAGAGUGUGUCAGAGGGAGGUAGAAUUCCACGUGUAGCAGUGAAAUGCGUAGAGAUGUGGAGGAAUACCGAUGGCGAAGGCAGCCUCCUGGGAUAACACUGACGCUCAUGCACGAAAGCGUGGGGAGCAAACAGGAUUAGAUACCCUGGUAGUCCACGCCCUAAACGAUGUCAACUAGUUGUUGGGGAUUCAUUUCCUUAGUAACGUAGCUAACCGCGUGAAGUUGACCGCCUGGGGAGUACGUCGGCAAGAUUAAAACUCAAAGGAAUUGACGGGGAACCGCACAAGCGUGGAUGAUGUGAUUAUUUCGAUGCAACCGAAAAACCCUAACCUACCCUUGACAUGCCACUAACGAAGCAAAAUGCAUUAGGUGCUUCGAAAAGAAAAAGGGACACAGUGCUUGCCAUGGCUGUCGUCAGCUCAGUUCUUGAAAAUGUUUGGGUUAAGUCCGGCACAAGUGCACCCUUGUCCUCUAGUGCUCAACGAAAGGACAUCUUAAGAGAGUGCCGGUUACAAACCGAGAAAAGGGGAAUGACGCUAGUCUCAGGCCUACGGUAGGAUCAACUGUAUAACAUGGUCAUCAAGGUGUGCAAGCAGAGGUGCACAUAUACCGAAGAGUACG
rnacentral:rRNA from 1 species